rnacentral:rRNA from 1 species
UACAGAGGUUCCAAGCGUUGUUCGGAUUUACUGGGCGUAAAGGGUGCGUAGGCGGUCGGAUAAGUCUGAUGUGAAAUCUCCGAGCUUAACUCGGAAACGGCAUUGGAUACUAUUCGGCUUGAGGUCUGGAGGGGGAACUGGAAUUCUCGGUGGAGCAGUGAAAUGCGUAGAUAUCGAGAGGAACAACAGUGGCGAAGGCGAGUCCCUGGACAGAUCCUGACGCUGAGGCACGAAAGCUAGGGGAGCAAACAGG